GUGUAUCAGGUGAAGUGUUGUAACAGUCUGUGUAUCAGGUGAAGUGUUGUAACAGUCUGUGUAUCAGGUGAAGUGCUGUAACAGUCUGUGUGUCAGGUGAAGUGCUGUAACAGUCUGUGUAUCAGGUGAAGUGCUGUAACAGUCUGUGUAUCAGGUGAAGUGUUGUAACAGUCUGUGUAUCAGGUGAAGUGCUGUAACAGUCUGUGUGUCAGGUGAAGUGCUGUAACAGUCUGUGUAUCAGGUGA